rnacentral:rRNA from 1 species
UAGUUGGGGGGGUAAAGGCCCACCAAGGCGACGAUCCGUAGCUGGUCUGAGAGGAUGAUCAGCCACACCGGAACUGAGACACGGUCCGGACUCCUACGGGAGGCAGCAGUGGGGAAUAUUGGACAAUGGGGGCAACCCUGAUCCAGCCAUGCCGCGUGUGUGAAGAAGGCCUUCGGGUUGUAAAGCACUUUAGGUCGGGAGGAAGGUUCGCUGGCUAAUAUCCAGCGGAAUUGACGUUACCGACAGAAUAAGCACCGGCUAACUCCGUGCCAGCAGCCGCGGUAAUACGGAGGGUGCAAGCGUUAAUCGGAAUUACUGGGCGUAAAGCGCGCGUAGGCGGCUUGGUAAGUCGGAUGUGAAAGCCCUGGGCUCAACCUGGGAACUGCAUUCGAUACUGUCAGGCUAGAGUGUGGGAGAGGGUGGUGGAAUUCCCGGUGUAGCGGUGAAAUGCGUAGAUAUCGGGAGGAACAUCAGUGGCGAAGGCGACCGCCUGGCCCAACACUGACGCUGAGGUGCGAAAGCGUGGGUAGCAAACAGGAUUAGAUACCCUGGUAGUCCACGCCGUAAACGAUGUCGACUAGCCGUUGGAGACCUUAGAGUUUUUAGUGGCGCAGCUAACGCGAUAAGUCGACCGCCUGGGGAGUACGGCCGCAAGGUUAAAACUCAAAUGAAUUGACGGGGGCCCGCACAAGCGGUGGAGCAUGUGGUUUAAUUCGAUGCAACGCGAAGAACCUUACCACCCCUUGACAUCCUGCGAACUUGGUAGAGAUACCUUGGUGCCUUCGGGAGCGCAGAGACAGGUGCUGCAUGGCUGUCGUCAGCUCGUGUUGUGAAAUGUUGGGUUAAGUCCCGUAACGAGCGCAACCCUUGUCCUUAGUUGCCAGCGAGUAAUGUCGGGAACUCUAAGGAGACUGCCGG